rnacentral:rRNA from 1 species
CAAUAGCGUAUAUUAAAGUUGUUGCAGUUAAAAAGCUCGUAGUCGGACCUCUGGCAGCGCGUGGACGGUCCGCCGCAAGGUGUGCACUGUGCGGCGCUGCCAUCCUCUCGAGGACCCUUGGUGCUCUUCACUGAGUGCUCUGGGGACUCGGGACCUUUACUUUGAAAAAUUAGAGUGUUCAAAGCAGGCCUUUUCGCUUGAAUACAUUAGCAUGGAAUAAUAGAAUAGGACUUUGGUUCUAUUUUGUUGGUUUCUAGGACCGAAGUAAUGAUUAAUAGGGAUAGUUGGGGGCAUUAGUAUUUAAUUGUCAGAGGUGAAAUUCUUGGAUUUAUGAAAGACUAACAUCUGCGAAAGCAUUUGCCAAGGAUGUUUUCAUUGA